AGAGAUCAUAAUUGGCUUGACAGAAAUAGGAGAAAUCUUUAGUAUCAAAUGCUCUUAAUAUUCUAUAAUCAUUUUUCUUUUCUUUCUCCCAUAUCAUUCCAACAAAUAAGAGAUCCAUGUUAAAACAUUCCAAGUCUAAGACCAACCAAGAAAUCAUCAACCGUAAAUGCUAAAUUUAACAUACCCAAGAUUCUCCCAAAAGUUGUCAACAAUAGAAGAAUCCACUGGUGAAAAUUACAUAGCUACCUUUAGAUCAUCUAUAGAAUCAACAACAUUCUCCUGAAACUAACUCAAGUAUUCCAUCAUAAUGCCUUUUAGAUCAAAUAUUAAUAAUCUUAACUAGUUUCAAAAUAAGUCGGACCACCACACUUCAGCUGCACACUCUGAUUUAAUUCAUUUAAUUCUCUAAAGUCACAAAAUGAUUUCUGACUAAAGUAUCACUUUGCAUCGAAACUAAGAAAAUUUAAAUUUUAAAUUUUCAAGUAGAAAUAGAGCAAAAUUUCUAGAUCUUUUUGUCCUCGGUUUAUAUAGAGUAUACUUACCAUAACUAACCCCCAAUCCUUUAGUCAAGUUUAAGGUCACUACGUGAUCUCCACAACCUUCUUAGAAUCCAAA
rnacentral:lncRNA from 1 species